rnacentral:rRNA from 1 species
GAUGAACGCUGGCGGCGUGCCUAAUACAUGCAAGUCGAGCGAACGGACGAGAAGCUUGCUUCUCUGAUGUUAGCGGCGGACGGGUGAGUAACACGUGGAUAACCUACCUAUAAGACUGGGAUAACUUCGGGAAACCGGAGCUAAUACCGGAUAAUAUUUUGAACCGCAUGGUUCAACAGUGAAAGACGGUCUUGCUGUCACUUAUAGAUGGAUCCGCGCUGCAUUAGCUAGUUGGUAAGGUAACGGCUUACCAAGGCAACGAUGCAUAGCCGACCUGAGAGGGUGAUCGGCCACACUGGAACUGAGACACGGUCCAGACUCCUACGGGAGGCAGCAGUAGGGAAUCUUCCGCAAUGGGCGAAAGCCUGACGGAGCAACGCCGCGUGAGUGAUGAAGGUCUUCGGAUCGUAAAACUCUGUUAUUAGGGAAGAACAUAUGUGUAAGUAACUGUGCACAUCUUGACGGCACCUAAUCAGAAAGCCACGGCUAACUACGUG